GACCUAGCAAUAGGUAUGCUUAGAGAGGAGCUUGCGUCAUAUUAGUUAGUUGGUGGGGUAAAGGCCUACCAAGACUAUGAUGUGUAGCCGGGCUGAGAGGUUGAACGGCCACAUUGGGACUGAGACACGGCCCAAACUCCUACGGGAGGCAGCAGUAGGGAAUUUUCGGCAAUGGAGGAAACUCUGACCGAGCAACGCCGCGUGAACGAUGAAGUAUUUCGGUACGUAAAGUUCUUUUAUUAGGGAAGAAUAAAUGAUGGAAAAAUCAUUCUGACGGUAUCUAAUGAAUAAGCCCCGGCUAACUAUGUGCCAGCAGCCGCGGUAAUACAUAGGGGGCAAGCGUUAUCCGGAAUUAUUGGGCGUAAAGGGUGCGUAGGCGGUUAAAUAAGUUUAUGGUCUAAGUGCAAUGCUCAACAUUGUGAUGCUAUAAAAACUGUUUAGCUAGAGUAAGAUAGAGGCAAGUGGAAUUCCAUGUGUAGUGGUAAAAUGCGUAAAUAUAUGGAGGAACACCAGUAGCGAAGGCGGCUUGUUGGGUCUUUACUGACGCUGAGGCACGAAAGCGUGGGGAGCAAACAGGAUUAGAUACCCUGGUAGUCCACGCCGUAAACGAUGAGUACUAAACGUUGGGUAAAACCAGUGUUGAAGUUAACACAUUAAGUACUCCGCCUGAGUAGUACGUACGCAAGUAUGAAACUUAAAGGAAUUGACGGGACUCCGCACAAGCGGUGGAUCAUGUUGUUUAAUUCGAAAGGUA
rnacentral:rRNA from 1 species